rnacentral:rRNA from 1 species
AACGGACGCUGGCGGCAGGCCUAACACAUGCAAGUCGAGCGAACCCUUCGGGGUUAGCGGCGGACGGGUUAGUAACGCGUGGGAAUAUACCCUUUGGUACGGAAUAGCCUCGGGAAACUGAGAGUAAUACCGUAUGUGCCCUUCGGGGAAGGAUUAUCGCCAAAGGAUUAGCCCGCGUUGGAUUAGAUAGUUGGUGGGGUAAGUGGCCUACCAAGUCUACGAUCCAUAGCUGGUUUGAGAGGAUGAUCAGCAACACUGGGACUGAGACACGGCCCAGACUCCUACGGGAGGCAGCAGUGGGGAAUCUUAGACAAUGGGCGCAAGCCUGAUCUAGCCAUGCCGCGUGGACGAUGAAGGCCUUAGGGUUGUAAAGUCCUUUCAGAUGGGAAGAUAAUGACGGUACCAUCAGAAGAAGCCCCGGCUAAACUCCGUGCCAGCAGCCGCGGUAAUGUAGUCG